rnacentral:lncRNA from 1 species
AAUAUAAAUAAACAAUGUGACUUAAUAAAACACUCAUUACUUUUCCCGGCUAAGGACUUCUUUAAAAUUAAAUUCACCCACCGCAACCUGGGCCACUUUUCUUGAGAUAUGGCAUCCAUUAUAUGAUCCAACAUUUUUCGAAAAUUUGGAACUGCUUUGGACGCUAUCCUCAAGGCUACAUUCUGGCUGUCCGGCAAGUAGCCGUAUAGUAGUUCGUGCUCUCCCAAGAUUUUGGAGAAUACCCUCCGCCAGAACUCCCACCACUUCCUCUAUUCUUCUGCACUCCCUGAAGUCGUGCUCUAAUGUCCGGGUCUCAUUACAGUGACAACAGAGGCUCCGCUCAUCGUGAAAUACUCUCGGCGUGAAGUAGAGGCCCGAUGCUAUUCUGUACUUCGUAUGCCUUUGUUUUGUUCCUUCAUAGAAAUGUGGAGCUCAUCCGGACUUGGAUCUUGCAAACACAUUCUUCUUGUGAUGGAGCGAUUUGGAACAUUCAUAACCACGUUCAUAGGUUUAAGUCUUCUGGUCGGGUUGAAGGGAAUGUUUCAGUAUCGCUAUUGCAGGGAGGGAGCCAAACAUUGGUACAAAGGAUAAGCAUGCAUUUGCUAUAGUUCCUGCAACUGAAUACAUUUUUGAAGAAAAACAUCAGGGUUUUUUUUUUCAUUAGUUACCAAAAGAUCCUGAACUUAUUAAAGUAAUGGUCAAUUCCAUCAGAAGAAAAAACAAGGAGCCAAACCAAUUUUCAAGAAUCUGUAACAACCAUUUUCCUAUAUCACUUUUAUUCAUGAAAAAACGGAUACAAAUUCAACUCGGCAAAAAAUAUAUAGUCCACUUAAACGAUAUAAAUUAAAAUCUGAUGCUGUUCCAGCAGUAUUGCCGGAUGUUAAAAAGAACAACUUGAGAAAACAAACUUUUCCUGAACGGACAACAACUUUAUCUACUUCUACUGAAAGAUUUGAGCAAGAUAUACUUCGUCUUAAUUCUCAAAUUGAACGUUUAUUUCAAUAAGAUGAGAUAAAAAAUACCUGAAAAAUCGUGUUUACCCAUAGGCAUUAAUGUAAUAAAUACUGAAGAUUUCUUUAUAUUUUUCGCCUUAUCAUCACAUGAUCUUUUUCAUUACAUUUUGUUUGGUUUAAAUGUUAAUAAUGACCUCUCUUUCUCAAUUUUUUCAAAAGAACUUCCUAUAACUAUUGUCGAAGUAUAUAUGUUUAUCAAAGAGUCUGAGCCGUUAUUCUGAUACCAAUAGCAUUUUAGCAUAUUUAAAGAAAUAAAAAUAAUUACCCCAAAGUAGCUUCAAGCAUAAAGUAUACCAUUGAGGUAUUAGAAGAAUCAGUACAUCAUCAAAACUUUCAUUCGAAAAAUCAUAUCAGUUUUAUUACAGAACAACUUCACUCUUUAAGUCUAAAAGGACGAAGGUACUCUCCUGAAUCUGUACUGGCCACGACAAUAGCUGACAUGAAAUGCUGCGACGAAAGCGCCCUUAAGCAAUCCAUAGUUAUCACUUAUUUAUUCUAUAUCAAGGACUCCUGUAAGCAGGACCGGGCACGCACAAACAUGAAUUCAAAUACGCGUGUCAACAUGGUUCCAUUGAAAAAAAACAAUGCAACGUCUUUGGUAAGAUAAUAAGGUGUAGAACGGGAUAUGACAACGAGCCAUAACAGUCUGGUGUUACGAUCCAUCUGUGGCCAAACAAAGAGAUAAACCCCAGACUGGAUACCGCCUUGCUGAGAGCCAUUCCAAGAGAAACAGAUCUGAAGAAGACAGAUUAGGCACCAUCCAAAAGUACAAAGCUGUGUUCCCUGCAUUUCGACGAAUCUGAUUUCAUCUGUGAGUCUAAAAGAAGUCAGACCCUUGGCAAGGUUCUGAAAAAGAGGUACCUCAAACCAGAUGUAGUACCAUUCCUAUGGCCAAACUGCCCCAACUACCUCUCAACUCCUAAAGCGUCAUCAAAGCCAACUCAAGCUGCGACCACGUCACGUAGGGCUCAACAGUUCAAUAAAAUGAGUUCUGUAGAAGAACUUUUUGACAAAUUGGCCAAGGAAACACUCCCAUCAUACUUCAUCCUCAUCACAAAACCAAAUGUUGCCCUUUUGAAGCUAUCCCAUGAUGAGAAAUUGGGCCCCCAAGUAGUAGCCAGCAUCAAGUUUGAGACAGAUAUGUCAUUCAAAAUGUACCACUCUGGUGUGUUGAUUGACAAAAAGGCAGUGUCACACAUCACCUCAGAAGACAAGGUCAACACUGUGAUUCAAGCCAUCAAUUUGGCUUCCUUUCUGGGAGCAAAAGAAGAAUUGAAUCAAACAGAGACCUGGGAAGACAUUUUCAACAAGUUAGUUAGCUCAGAGAUUGAGCCUAAGUGACCUUCUAAGCUCUCUUUCAUUCGUGAGCAAAUGGUUCUCCUCUUCACCAAACCAACAGCUAGAUAAUAUUCACCUUGCCUUCUUUCAACCGCACUCAUGUGGAAGAAUGUGAGCUCAGAUCUAUGUGGAAUAUCCUAAAAGUCAAGACACCUGGAGUUGGCUACGAAAAGAGAGAUGAGCAUCGUGAACCAAUCUCUGAGAAUAACAAACUUGGCCUCUCUUUCUUGAGAGAUUUUGUCGACUUUCUCAUCGAGUGCCAAAACAGUAAAGUACCUGGCCUCAGAAACCUUCCUAGCAACAAAGCAGACAUUCUUUGCUGCAGUAGAUCUGGUAGAGUAUCUUCUCCUAGAUGAAGACUUCUCCUAUGUACUCCUCGGCAUGUUCCAGUCUGAUCCCAUCGAAAGAAGGUUUGGCUGGUACAGACAACUAAGUGAAGGUAUCUACUACAUCAGCGUGAGACAAAUCCUGGAAGCAGAGAAAAAUAUUCGUAUUCUGAGUCGUGUCAAAUUCUCAGGUCUGACUACUUCAAAGUUCUGCUGGAUGGAGACAUGGUAAAAGCUGUGCUCAUGGAUUCUUUCUACUUAGUUGCCGGGUAUAUUGGGUUUUCUUUGAAGAAGAAGAUCAGCUGUACAUCAUACCAAGAGUUAAUGUUCAUCAGACACACCUCCGGACUCAAUAACCUUCGAUAGCCAAACCAAUCAGCAUGUAGACCUGAAAGAGUUCAUCGACAUAAUGAGCAGAGGGGGGUUGUCGACUCCAUCCGACCUUCUCUAUCUCUCCUGUCUUUAUGCUCACUCCAAUUUUAAUCUCCUGAAGAGAAAGACAGUUUACUUGGCACACCAAAUCCUAGAGUUUCAUUUGUUGCCACAUUCAUAGACAGGAUGCAGGAGAUUUUAAACUCUGCCAUUAUCGCCAUUGUGGGAGUAAAGUACAAGGAAGGACACUCCUGGUCAGCUUUUCUUCAAAUAAUUUCAUUUGCUUUGUUUAAUGUCAUGGGUAAAAAUUUAAGUGCUAAACUGAAUGAUGACAUCCGAUUUUUAACAAAAAAGAGAAUGGCAGCUAAGAAUUCAGAAGCUAAUAGAAAAAAAGCUAAAUUUCAAUCAAAAUCUUAUGACUUGUAGACUUGGACCAAAUUUGUACUUUUGUAAUGUAUUCGUGUUUUCCCUGUCGACGAAAAAGGGACGAAUACAUUACAUUUUUGAUGGUGCCUUUUUUUUUUUAAUAUGUUUUUAAUGUUUAUUUUGAUUAAAGUACUAAUAAAAUACCACUUCUAUUAG